AUGAUGUGAUGAGAUCAUGAUUAUCAAUGUGGUGUGGUAAUUCGAUAUGAUUAUAUAAAUCCUUGUCAGUGUCAAUGGUGAUCUACUAACUAAACCCACUAAACCUGAAAACUUACUAUCCUCGUAAUUUCCUAUGAAAUAGGUACCAGCCAAGUUUUCAACACAAUUGCUUUGUCUUUGUACUAUCUGUGUAGUGAAAGUGUGUGGUGAAGUAAACUGUUUUGGACAUGACUGCCCGAUUACCCUUGUCUUGAGCAAAGUUAUACUUUUUUAUCAUCAAAUCAAGGAAUAGGCCUAAUAGGGUUGAUUCUGAACUUAAAGUUUUAAUAUCGCAAUUGAAUUAAUUCUUAAAAUGUGGCACUAUAUUUUCUUUGUAUUGCUUUGCUGUCACUUGGCAAAUGCAUCUACUGGAUUCGAUUUUGGAGAUGUACUGGCAUUACUUUUAGGUAUGGGAAUCAGUCUGGUUGGAAUUUGUGCUUGUUUGGGAUGUUAUGCAAGACGAAGACAAGCCGGUUUGGAUUCAUUAUGAAAUCCAGUGUAGUCCAAAGAUAAUGGAUAACACCUGGAUAUAACAUCUGACAAAUUACCAUGUUCAUCAUAUGGAAUGAUAUCCCACCAAAGAAGAAUGAAACAUUUUGAAGUGUGUUUAAAUAGACUGUAACUUGAAUUUUAUGUAGAUGUAAAGUUUUACUUUAGUUGUAUUAUUUGUACAAAUAAAUAUUUUCUUUUAAACUA